rnacentral:rRNA from 1 species
AAAGAGUGCGUAAUAGCUCACUGGUCGAGUGAUCCUGCGCCGAAGAUUUCCGGGGCUAAAACUUACUACCGAAGCUACGGCAUCAGUAAUGAUGGGUAGGGGAGCUUCCCAUACGGGUUGAAGCAUGACCGUAAGGACAUGUGGACAGUAUGGGAGUGAGAAUGUUGGCAUGAGUAGCGAGAUGUGGGUGAGAAUCCCACAGGCCGUAAACCCAAGGUUUCCAGGGGAAGGUUCGUCCGCCCUGGGUUAGUCGGGACCUAAGCUGAGGCCGAAAGGCGUAGGUGAUGGACAACAGGUUGAUAUUCCUGUACUACCGAUAACCGUUUGAGAGAAGGGAUGACACAGUAGGAUAAGCUAAGCACACUGUUGGUUAUGUGUGCCCAAGCAUUGAGGCAGUCAAAGUAGGCAAAUCCGCUUUGAUAAUGCUGGGAUGUGAUGGGGAGCGAAAUUUAGUAGCGAAGUAGCUGAUUUCACACUGUCAAGAAAAGUCUCUAUCGAGGUUAAAGGUACCCGUACCGCAAACCGACACAGGUGGGUGAGGAGAGUAUCCUAAGGCCAGCGAGAGAACUGUUGUUAAGGAACUCGGCAAAAUGACCCCGUAACUUAGGGAUAAGGGGUGCCACCAUCAGGUGGCCGCAGAGAAUAGGCCCAAGCGACUGUUUACCAAAAACAUAGGUUUCUGCUAAGUCGCAAGACGAUGUAUAGGAGCUGACGCCUGCCCGGUGCUGGAAGGUUAAGGGGAUCUGUUAGAGCAAUCGAAGCAGUGAACUUAAGCCCCAGUAAACGGCGGCCGUAACUAUAACGGUCCUAAGGUAGCGAAAUUCCUUGUCGGGUAAGUUCCGACCCGCACGAAAGGCGUAACGAUUUGGGCACUGUCUCAACAACAGACUCGGUGAAAUUGUAAUUCCGGUGAAGAUGCCGGAUACCUGCGACAGGACGGAAAGACCCCAUGGAGCUUUACUGUAGCUUGACAUUGGGUCUUGGUACUACAUGUACAGGAUAGGUGGGAGGCUUUGAAACCAGGACGCCAGUUUUGGCGGAGCCAUCCUUGGGAUACCACCCUUGUAGUACUGGGACUCUAACCAUAGGCCAUGAAUCUGGUCUUGGGACACUGUCAGGUGGGCAGUUUGACUGGGGCGGUCGCCUCCCAAAAGGUAACGGAGGCGCUCAAAGGUUCUCUCAGUACGGUCGGAAAUCGUACGUAGAGUGUAAAGGCAAAAGAGAGCUUGAUUGCAAGACAUACAGGUCGAGCAAGGAUGAAAAUCGGACUUAGUGAUCCGGUGGUUCUGCGUGGAAGGGCCAUCGCUCAACGGAUAAAAGCUACCCUGGGGAUAA